UACCGCGAGGUGGAGCAAAACUUCAAAAAUAGGUCUCAGUUCGGACUGUAGGCUGCAACUCGCCUACACGAAGUUGGAAUUGCUAGUAAUCGUGGAUCAGCAUGCCACGGUGAAUACGUUCCCGGGUCUUGUACACACCGCCCGUCACACCAUGGGAGCUGGUAACACCCGAAGUCAGUAGUCUAACCGCAAGGAGGACGCUGCCGAAGGUGGGAUUAGCGACUGGGGUGAAGUCGUAACAAGGUAAC
rnacentral:rRNA from 1 species